UGAGUGCAUAAAAAGGGUACUGUAUUUCUACUGUGCAGGCAAAGAUUCCAGUUUUAUAUUGAUUUGGAUAGGUGGAUUCGUCGGUGCGAGGAUUCGGAGAUGGAGAAUGCUGGUUCGUUAGAACGGGCGAUGGCGUGAAACUGUGGGAAUCUUUCAAAUUUUAUCCACUUAAGCAGUUGCUGAGCUUUCGAAUGGUGUACUUACACCCUAGCCGUUUUUUCUGAAUAAAUUCCGCAGCAUUUUAUGGACUUCACUGGAUUUUGAUGCUUACAUUGGCAUCUCUGUUGGGCAAGGGCUCAGCUGAUUUGAGAUCUAAAAGGCAAUUUUUUUUUUACAUGCACCUGAGAAGUUACUCUGAAAUUGGUGAAAGAAUAUCUCAAUAUGUUUGUGAUUUUGAACCUCUCAAUCAACCUGGUGGCCACUGCCACUCUUCUGGCUGGAGAAUUUCUUUGUGAUAUAACAAGUCCUUUUUCCUUUUCUACAGUUUGUCUAUUUGGUACAACAGGUCUGUGAGCAGUAAUGCCUAAGCAUUUCAUCAGUGGAGAAGCAACAGAUUCACACCAUCAAAGCAGGGAAAAAAUCUCAACGACCAACUGCAAGGGGAAAUUAUCCAUGGAAUUAUUACAAUUCCAGUUUAAAGCAUCUAAUAAAGAUUCUUCUUUUUGCAACUGUUGCUUUCGAGUGGUUAUUAAAAGUGUUAGGCAAAUGGGGCUAUCGUGUUUGGUCAUGGAUCAGCAACACUAAAACUCAAGAGAUUGUUUGGGCACAGGACAUUGAUGAUGAUGUCUCAUAAGUGGAGCCUCAAGACUAACACAUCAUCUUUCCACUCAGAUAAGGAUAUCUUUUCCCUUGCUUCUUA